rnacentral:rRNA from 1 species
CAGCCGCCGCGGUAAUACGAAGGGUGCAAGCGUUAAUCGGAAUUACUGGGCGUAAAGCGUGCGUAGGCGGUGAGUUAAGUCUGCUGUGAAAUCCCCGGGCUCAACCUGGGAAUGGCAGUGGAUACUGGCUCGCUAGAGUGUGUCAGAGGAUGGUGGAAUUCCCGGUGUAGCGGUGAAAUGCGUAGAGAUCGGGAGGAACAUCAGUGGCGAAGGCGGCCAUCUGGGACAACGCUGACGCUGAGGCACGAAAGCGUGGGGAGCAAACAGGAUUAGAUACCCCGGUAGUCCCUGUCUCUUAUAC